rnacentral:rRNA from 1 species
UACGUAGGGUGCAAGCGUUAUUCGGAAUUACUGGGCGUAAAGCGUGCGCAGGCGGUGAUGUAAGACAGGGGUGAAAUCCCCGGGCUUAACCUGGGAACUGCAUUUGUGACUGCAUUUCUGGAGUGCGGCAGAGGGGGAUGGAAUUCCGCGUGUAGCAGUGAAAUGCGUAGAUAUGCGGAGGAACACCGAUGGCGAAGGCAAUCCCCUGGGCCUGCACUGACGCUCAUGCACGAAAGCGUGGGGAGCAAACAGG